GGUUAAGCGACUAAGCGUACACGGUGGAUGCCCUGGCAGUCAGAGGCGAUGAAGGACGUGCUAAUCUGCGAUAAGCGUCGGUAAGGUGAUAUGAACCGUUAUAACCGGCGAUUUCCGAAUGGGGAAACCCAGUGUGAUUCGUCACACUAUCAUUAACUGAAUCCAUAGGUUAAUGAGGCGAACCGGGGGAACUGAAACAUCUAAGUACCCCGAGGAAAAGAAAUCAACCGAGAUUCCCCCAGUAGCGGCGAGCGAACGGGGAGCAGCCCAGAGCCUGAAUCAGUGUGUGUGUUAGUGGAAGCGUCUGGAAAGGCGCGCGAUACAGGGUGACAGCCCCGUACACAAAAAUGCACAUGCUGUGAGCUCGAUGAGUAGGGCGGGACACGUGGUAUCCUGUCUGAAUAUGGGGGGACCAUCCUCCAAGGCUAAAUACUCCUGACUGACCGAUAGUGAACCAGUACCGUGAGGGAAAGGCGAAAAGAACCCCGGCGAGGGGAGUGAAAAAGAACCUGAAACCGUGUACGUACAAGCAGUGGGAGCACGCUUAGGCGUGUGACUGCGUACCUUUUGUAUAAUGGGUCAGCGACUUAUAUUCUGUAGCAAGGUUAACCGAAUAGGGGAGCCGAAGGGAAACCGAGUCUUAACUGGGCGUUAAGUUGCAGGGUAUAGACCCGAAACCCGGUGAUCUAGCCAUGGGCAGGUUGAAGGUUGGGUAACACUAACUGGAGGACCGAACCGACUAAUGUUGAAAAAUUAGCGGAUGACUUGUGGCUGGGGGUGAAAGGCCAAUCAAACCGGGAGAUAGCUGGUUCUCCCCGAAAGCUAUUUAGGUAGCGCCUCGUGAAUUCAUCUCCGGGGGUAGAGCACUGUUUCGGCAAGGGGGUCAUCCCGACUUACCAACCCGAUGCAAACUGCGAAUACCGGAGAAUGUUAUCACGGGAGACACACGGCGGGUGCUAACGUCCGUCGUGAAGAGGGAAACAACCCAGACCGCCAGCUAAGGUCCCAAAGUCAUGGUUAAGUGGGAAACGAUGUGGGAAGGCCCAGACAGCCAGGAUGUUGGCUUAGAAGCAGCCAUCAUUUAAAGAAAGCGUAAUAGCUCACUGGUCGAGUCGGCCUGCGCGGAAGAUGUAACGGGGCUAAACCAUGCACCGAAGCUGCGGCAGCGACGCUUAUGCGUUGUUGGGUAGGGGAGCGUUCUGUAAGCCUGUGAAGGUGUACUGUGAGGUAUGCUGGAGGUAUCAGAAGUGCGAAUGCUGACAUAAGUAACGAUAAAGCGGGUGAAAAGCCCGCUCGCCGGAAGACCAAGGGUUCCUGUCCAACGUUAAUCGGGGCAGGGUGAGUCGACCCCUAAGGCGAGGCCGAAAGGCGUAGUCGAUGGGAAACAGGUUAAUAUUCCUGUACUUGGUGUUACUGCGAAGGGGGGACGGAGAAGGCUAUGUUGGCCGGGCGACGGUUGUCCCGGUUUAAGCGUGUAGGCUGGUUUUCCAGGCAAAUCCGGAAAAUCAAGGCUGAGGCGUGAUGACGAGGCACUACGGUGCUGAAGCAACAAAUGCCCUGCUUCCAGGAAAAGCCUCUAAGCAUCAGGUAACAUCAAAUCGUACCCCAAACCGACACAGGUGGUCAGGUAGAGAAUACCAAGGCGCUUGAGAGAACUCGGGUGAAGGAACUAGGCAAAAUGGUGCCGUAACUUCGGGAGAAGGCACGCUGAUAUGUAGGUGAAGUCCCUCGCGGAUGGAGCUGAAAUCAGUCGAAGAUACCAGCUGGCUGCAACUGUUUAUUAAAAACACAGCACUGUGCAAACACGAAAGUGGACGUAUACGGUGUGACGCCUGCCCGGUGCCGGAAGGUUAAUUGAUGGGGUUAGCGCAAGCGAAGCUCUUGAUCGAAGCCCCGGUAAACGGCGGCCGUAACUAUAACGGUCCUAAGGUAGCGAAAUUCCUUGUCGGGUAAGUUCCGACCUGCACGAAUGGCGUAAUGAUGGCCAGGCUGUCUCCACCCGAGACUCAGUGAAAUUGAACUCGCUGUGAAGAUGCAGUGUACCCGCGGCAAGACGGAAAGACCCCGUGAACCUUUACUAUAGCUUGACACUGAACAUUGAGCCUUGAUGUGUAGGAUAGGUGGGAGGCUUUGAAGUGUGGACGCCAGUCUGCAUGGAGCCGACCUUGAAAUACCACCCUUUAAUGUUUGAUGUUCUAACGUUGACCCGUAAUCCGGGUUGCGGACAGUGUCUGGUGGGUAGUUUGACUGGGGCGGUCUCCUCCUAAAGAGUAACGGAGGAGCACGAAGGUUGGCUAAUCCUGGUCGGACAUCAGGAGGUUAGUGCAAUGGCAUAAGCCAGCUUGACUGCGAGCGUGACGGCGCGAGCAGGUGCGAAAGCAGGUCAUAGUGAUCCGGUGGUUCUGAAUGGAAGGGCCAUCGCUCAACGGAUAAAAGGUACUCCGGGGAUAACAGGCUGAUACCGCCCAAGAGUUCAUAUCGACGGCGGUGUUUGGCACCUCGAUGUCGGCUCAUCACAUCCUGGGGCUGAAGUAGGUCCCAAGGGUAUGGCUGUUCGCCAUUUAAAGUGGUACGCGAGCUGGGUUUAGAACGUCGUGAGACAGUUCGGUCCCUAUCUGCCGUGGGCGCUGGAGAACUGAGGGGGGCUGCUCCUAGUACGAGAGGACCGGAGUGGACGCAUCACUGGUGUUCGGGUUGUCAUGCCAAUGGCACUGCCCGGUAGCUAAAUGCGGAAGAGAUAAGUGCUGAAAGCAUCUAAGCACGAAACUUGCCCCGAGAUGAGUUCUCCCUGACUCCUUGAGAGUCCUGAAGGAACGUUGAAGACGACGACGUUGAUAGGCCGGAUGUGUAAGCGCAGCGAUGCGUUGAGCUAACCGGUACUAAUGAACCGUGAGGCUUAACCUU
rnacentral:rRNA from 1 species